rnacentral:misc_RNA from 1 species
GAUGAAGAACGCAGCGAAAUGCGAUACGUAAUGUGAAUUGCAGAAUUCAGUGAAUCAUCGAAUCUUUGAACGCAUAUUGCGCUCUCUGGUAUUCCGGAGAGCAUGCUUGUUUGAGUAUCAGUAAACACCUCAACUCCCCUUUCUUUUUUUGAAAUGGGAGCUGGACUUGAGUGAUCCCAACGCUUUUCUCACCGAAAAGUGGCGGGUUACUUGAAAUGCAGGUGCAGCUGGACUUUUCUCUGAGCUAAAAGCAUAUCUAUUUAGUCUGCCUAAAAAACAGAUUAUUACCUUUGCUGCAGCUAACAUAAAGGAGAUUAGUUCUUGUGCUGACUGAUGCAGGAUUCACAAAGACAGGCUUCGGCCGACUUUGUAAACUCGAUCUCAAAUCAAGUAAGACUACCCGCUGAACUUAAGCAUAUCAAUAAGCGGAGGA